UUCUUGUAACGUAGUUUUUUCGUGAUUUAUAGGGACAGUGGAUGACUUUUUAAAUACGGUUUUAUUAACGGAAACUAAAGCAAACAUAUCUAACUGGCACAGCUUCUGGAGGAAGUUCUUGAGAAGUUUAUGAGAAAGAAUGACCGCUCCAGUUGAGCUAAAGCACGUCAGUUGCCGGGGAACUCGCCGUCGUGGAGCCGGGGAGACAUGUAGCUUCCGGAAGCCAGGAGCUCUGAGGCCGGACGUGGAGAAGCCGGGUCCUCCAGGACGACCUCCCAGGGGCUCCUGAGUGCUCCGCUCUGCUCAGCCACCAGAAGAGGGCUUGUCACCUGCUCUGACUGCCGGCUGGCUGGAUUUGCAUCGGCACACUUCUGACGGGUUGCUCCCAAGAAGGCCUGCCUCCCCGCUCCUCCAAGGAUCAAACGCUGUAGGACACACACAGGGCUUCUUCAAGAGCACCAAGUGGUGGCCCUUAGGGUGGGGAACCAGCAGAUGCUCAAACUGAAGAAUUAUAUCAAGGGCGGAGAACCGUUCUCUCCUGCUUUCUGUGGCGGUGCUGUCAGGCUUUUCGUCAUCAGCCGCCUCGUAGAAUGCCGAUGUCGCAGGGAUGAGGAAAAAGGAGCCAGCCGCCGAAAGGUGACGUUGGAGGGCGUCAGUGCCGGUUAGCUAUCAGCGGAUGGGCAAGAAAGCGAGCAGGUGUGGCCCCAUUUAUGUGCAGCUAAAUGCUAAGCAUUGUGCGGUUGGACGAGAAGCCGCCCGUGUGGGCCGGGCCCAGCGGUGUGAACGGGGCUGCGAGGCUUCCCACCGAGGACACCAGCCCAGCGGGGCGCUGUUAAUUCAAAGUAAGUAAACAAAUGGGUCCCCCUGAUGCCAUCGCCGCUCCUGCCCGGUCCCAGUGAGCCCACUUCCU